GACGAACGCUGGCGGCGUGCUUAACACAUGCAAGUCGAACGGAAAGGCCCUGCUUUUGUGGGGUGCUCGAGUGGCGAACGGGUGAGUAACACGUGAGUAACCUGCCCUUGACUUUGGGAUAACUUCAGGAAACUGGGGCUAAUACCGGAUAGGAGCUCCUGCUGCAUGGUGGGGGUUGGAAAGUUUCGGCGGUUGGGGUUGGACUCGCGGCUUAUCAGCUUGUUGGUGGGGUAGUGGCUUACCAAGGGUUUGACGGGUAGCCGGCCUGAGAGGGUGACCGGCCACAUUGGGACUGAGAUAGGGCCCAGACUCCUACGGGAGGCAGCAGUGGGGAAUAUUGCACAAGGGGCGGAAGCCUGAUGCAGCAACGCCGCGUGGGGGAUGACGGCCUUCGGGUUGUAAACCGCUUUCGCCUGUGACGAAGCGUGAGUGACGGUAAGGGGUAAAGAAGCACCGGCUAACUACGUG
rnacentral:rRNA from 1 species